CCUACGGGUGGCAGCAGUGGGGAAUAUUGCACAAUGGGGGAAACCCUGAUGCAGCGACGCCGCGUGAGUGAAGAAGUAAUUCGUUAUGUAAAGCUCUAUCAGCAGGGAAGAAAAUGACGGUACCUGAGUCAGAAGCCCCGGCUCACUACGUGCCAGCAGCCGCGGUAAUACGUAGGGGGCAAGCGUUAUCCGGAUUUACUGGGUGUAAAGGGAGCGUAGACGGCAGUGCAAGUCUGGAGUGAAAGGCGGGGGCGCAACCCCCGGACUGCUCUGGAAACUGUACGGCUGGAGUGCAGGAGAGGUAAGUGGAAGUCCGAGUGUAGCGGUGAAAUGCGUAGAUAUUAGGAGGAACACCAGUGGCGAAGGCGGCUUACUGGACUGUAACUGACGUUGAGGCUCGAAAGCGUGGGGAGCAAACAGGAUUAGAUAUCCGGGUAGUC
rnacentral:rRNA from 1 species